rfam:Salmo salar isolate Sally breed double haploid chromosome ssa01, whole genome shotgun sequence.
AAUGCACCAAUUUGUAAGUCGCUCUGGAUAAGAGCGUCUGCUAAAUACGUAAAU